AGACACAUAAUGGAUAUACUAUUAAGAGUUGACAGUUUAAACUCUAAGUCAUCCUAGCAUCAAAGGUCAAAGGGAUGAAUUAUACGAUAACUAUAUUCAAAUAGGUUCUUGAGUGUUGCUUUGCAUACAUUCAGCCUAUCCGGAUGUCGGGUACUAUUACUAAAUGGUUACUCUGAUUGGUACAAAAAUCAAUUUCUGUGCUACCGACUU
rnacentral:lncRNA from 1 species